UACGGGGGGAGCAAGCGUUGUUCGGAUUUACUGGCGUAAAGGGCGCGUAGGCGGCCACCGCAAGUCGGUUGUGAAAUCUCCGGGCUUAACCCGGAAAGGUCAAUCGAUACUGCGGGGCUAGAGUGCAGAAGGGGCAACUGGGAAUUCUCGGUGUAGCGGUGAAAUGCGUAGAGAUCGGGAGGAACACCAGUGGCGAAGGCGGCUCGCUGGGCCGGUCCUGACACUGAGACGCGAAGGCGUGGGAGCGACGGG
rnacentral:rRNA from 1 species